AAAUUGAAGAGUUUGAUCAUGGCUCAGAUUGAACGCUGGCGGCAGGCCUAACACAUGCAAGUCGAACGGUAGCACAGAGAGCUUGCUCUCGGGUGACGAGUGGCGGACGGGUGAGUAAUGUCUGGGAAACUGCCUGAUGGAGGGGGAUAACUACUGGAAACGGUAGCUAAUACCGCAUAACGUCGCAAGACCAAAGAGGGGGACCUUCGGGCCUCUUGCCAUCAGAUGUGCCCAGAUGGGAUUAGCUAGUAGGUGGGGUAACGGCUCACCUAGGCGACGAUCCCUAGCUGGUCUGAGAGGAUGACCAGCCACACUG
rnacentral:rRNA from 1 species